CUGUAGGAGAUGAAAUAUUUCCUCACUCAUCCUGGAUAAAAGAGUACUUCACUUGGGCAGGAUUUAAGGAUUAUAACCCAGUGCUCAGGAGAUGACUGAAAUAGAGGAGGACUUCAGCCCUUUUCCUGGAGGAUAUGACUAUUUGGUUGACUUUCUACCUUUAUCCUUUCCAAAAGAAAGCCCGAGCUGGGAACACGUGUAUGAGGAAGUUUUGCAACCAUUUUCAAAUCAAACUGCCUCUAACACCGCCCAGCUGGAGGUCCUUCCUGAUGCACUGGGGGUAGAGCAGGCCUGAGCUUUCCAGAUUGCUGUGGCAAGAACCUCCAGUACUGUGCUGAAAAGAACUGGUGAGAGUGGACAUCCUUGUCUUGUUCCUGAUUUUAGGGAAAAAGCUCUCAAUUUUUCACCAU